GGUUGUAUGGAGUAGUUGGUUAACUUAGGAGAUUCUGAUUGUAUGAGCUCGUCUUGCGCUCACAUCAAUACGAUUCGACUUCUCUUGCCCUGGGUUCGAAUCCCAGUACGACCU